rnacentral:rRNA from 1 species
GACGAACGCUGGCGGCGUGCCUAACACAUGCAAGUCGAGCGAGUGAAUCUCCUUCGGGAGUGAAGCUAGCGGCGGACGGGUGAGUAACACGUGGGCAACCUGCCUCAUAGAGGGGAAUAGCCUUCCGAAAGGAAGAUUAAUACCGCAUAAGAUUGUAGCUUCGCAUGAAGUAGCAAUUAAAGGAGCAAUCCGCUAUGAGAUGGGCCCGCGGCGCAUUAGCUAGUUGGUGAGGUAACGGCUCACCAAGGCGACGAUGCGUAGCCGACCUGAGAGGGUGAUCGGCCACAUUGGGACUGGGACACGGCCCAGACUCCUACGGGAGGCAGCAGUGGGGAAUAUUGCACAACGGGGAAAACCCUGAUGCAGCAACGCCGCGCGAGUGAUGACGGCCUUCGGGUUGUAAAGCUCUGUCUUCAGGGACGAUAAUGACGGUACCUGAGGAGGAAGCCACGGCUAACUACGUGCCAGCCGCCGCGGUAA